rnacentral:rRNA from 1 species
GUGAGGAAUAUUGCGCAAUGGAGGCAACUCUGACGCAGCCAUGCCGCGUGCAGGAAGAAGGCGCUACGCGUUGUAAACUGCUUUUAACCGGGAAGAAACCCCAGGACGUGUCCUGGGUUGACGGUACCGGAGGAAUAAGCACCGGCUAACUUCGUGCCAGCAGCCGCGGUAAUACGAAGGGUGCAAGCGUUAUCCGGAUUCAUUGGGUUUAAAGGGUGCGUAGGCGGAGCGUUAAGGCAGUGGUGAAAUCCUGCAGCUUAACUGUAGACUUGCCAUUGAUACUGGCGCUCUUGAGUGCGCUUGAAGUGGGCGGAAUGUGCCGUGUAGCGGUGAAAUGCUUAGAUAUGGCACAGAACACCAAUUGCGAAGGCAGCUCACUAAGGCGAUACUGACGCUGAGGCACGAAAGCGUGGGGAUCGAACAGGAUUAGAAACCCCGGUAGUCC